CCGUGAGAGCGGUAGCCCGGAGAUGGACCCUGAGACAAGGGUCCAGGCCCUACGGGGCGCAGCAGGCGCGAAACCUCCAUAAUGCGCGAAAGCGUGAUGGGGUUAGCCCGAGUGUCGCUCGCUGAAGGCGACUUUUCUUCGGUCUAAAUAGCCGAGGGUAAUAAGGGGAGAGCAAGCCUGGUGUCAGCCGCCGCGGUAAUAUCAGCUCCCCGAGUGGUAAGGACGAUUAUUGGGCCUAAAGCGUCCGUAGCCGGCUUAUAAGUUUCCCGUUAAAUCCGACGAUCUAAUCGUCGGGCUGCGGGAAAUACUGUUAGGCUAGGAGGCGGGAAGGCCGGCAGUACUUUUGGGGUAGGGGUGAAUCCUAUAUCCCAGAAGGACUACCAGUGGCGAAGCGGCCGGCCAGAACGCGCCCGAACGGUGAAGGGCGAA
rnacentral:rRNA from 1 species